AUUUAAUUAAAUAAAAAAGAAGGAAAAAAUAGAUUAUCGAUCCUUAAGUGGUGAUCUUUGUGACCGAUUAUUAGAAAGUUUUGCAAACCACGUGUCAGCAUUUCAGGCAAACUAUAUUUUUUUUCUCUUUUGUUUUCACCAAAAUCAUUUUGGUUUUCUCUUCUUCAUCUCUCUUUCCUCUCUUCGUGUUCUCCGUCACGAGUGAGAAAAGAUCGAAACCGAUUGAAACCACCAAAGAUCCUCUACCACCGAUCCUCCGUCUUCGCUCUCGUCUUCUCCUCUUCUCCGUGACAGAGGAAGGAUUGAAACCCACCACCGAUCGAGUUUCCCCAAAAAGUACGACGACUCUUUCUCUUCUCACGGCGUUCCGCCGUCUUCUCUCGCUCCUCACGGCGUCUCCUCCGUCUUCUGUCGUCUUGUUCGUCUCCACCACCGAUCCUCCGUCUCUCGCUCCUCACGGCGUUCCUCCGUCUUCUCUCGUCUCCCUCAGAAGAGCGAUCGAAAUCCACAGAUAAGUGAUGUUUCAGUUUCUCUUCUUCACAUGCAAAAUCAAACUGUUCGGUUCAGUUUUUGUUGUUGACAUAAUCUACUAAUUUUGCAUUAAUAUCGAAUCAAUCUCUCUCGUUUCAUCAUCUAGUUUCCAAGGAAAGAAGAAAAGAAAAGUUUUUCUGUUAGUUUUGUUUUCUCGGAAGAAACUAGAUUCUGACUUUGAUCAACGAUCCUUUAGCUCUAACUCUUUCUGUGUUUACUGGUUAGAUAUGUGUAUACUUUGUUUUAAUGAUCGUUUUCAAUUCAACAGGACGCCAAGGAACAUAUUUCUGUAUUGGCUUCGUCUCUACCAGACAAAAUGGGUUGAGGGCGAUGUGAACAAGGUUACACAUCCAGUUCAUCGACAAGCAAACACAAUGUGAGACUGUCGUUGUUAAUUACGACAGGGACCUUGAGGUCGAGAGUCAACCACUUCUUCAGAGUCUCGACAACAAGACACUCCCUUUCCUUAUGCGAGUUUUCCACUCGAUGGGGAUAUCGGAUCAUCACAACUCCCUCUGUUCAGUACUCAAGCAACUGCAACAUCUAGCUUCUAUGAAGACUCUCCUACACAGCGUAAAGGAAGAAAGAAAUGGAGUCCCUCCGAUGAUCUAGUGCUGAUUAGCGCAUGGUUAAACACCAGCAAGGACCCUGUUGUGGGCAAUGAGCAGAAAGCAGGAGCUUAUGAGAGCAUGUAUCAUACUCCAUAAUAUGAUAGUAGAAGACGAACGAGAUGGAUACACUCAUUUUGAUGUUUCAGAGUUCCAACAAGGAGAAGAAACUGGAACUUCACAUGUCGAUCUCACGUAUUCUACAGAUAUCCCUUCAAAUAUCGCCAAUAUGAUGGGUGUUCGAACAAGAAUUCGUGAUAGACAAAUGCAUCAACAACUCAAAGCUGAUUUGGUUGAACAUAUAUGGCGUAAAUUUGGAUCUGAUGGAGACAACUACUAAGCUCAGAUGUUUUUCCAAAUUAUUCUCGAUUAUUGUACUAGUUUUUUUAAUGUUUUUUUUAAUAAGUAUGUUCUAAAUGUUAUAUAAUAAAUAAAUUUCAUCUUUAAAA